rnacentral:rRNA from 1 species
CCUACGGGAGGCAGCAGUGGGGGAUAUUGGACAAUGGGGGGAACCCUGAUCCAGCGACGCCGCGUGAGUGAAGAAGUAUUUCGGUAUGUAAAGCUCUGUCAGCAGGGAAGAAAGCAAUGACGGUACCUGACCAAGAAGCCCCGGCUAACUACGUGCCAGCAGCCGCGGUAAUACGUAGGGGGCAAGCGUUAUCCGGAAUUACUGGGGGUAAAGGGGGCGUAGACGGCUGUGCAAGUCUGGAGUGAAAGGCGGGGGCCCAACCCCCGGACUGCUCUGGAAACGGUAUGGCUGGAGUGCAGGAGAGGUAAGCGGAAUUCCUAGUGUAGCGGUGAAAUGAGUAGAUAUUAGGAGGAACACCAGUGGCGAAGGCGGCUUACUGGACUGUAACUGACGUUGAGGCUCGAAAGCGUGGGGAGCAAACAGGAUUAGAUACCCGAGUAGUC